AUUGAACGCUGGCGGCAGGCCUAACACAUGCACGUCGAGCGGAUGAAGGGAGCUUGCUCCUGGAUUCAGCGGCGGACGGGUGAGUAAUGCCUAGGAAUCUGCCUGGUAGUGGGGGAUAACGUCCGGAAACGGGCGCUAAUACCGCAUACGUCCUGAGGGAGAAAGUGGGGGAUCUUCGGACCUCACGCUAUCAGAUGAGCCUAGGUCGGAUUAGCUAGUUGGUGGGGUAAAGGCCUACCAAGGCGACGAUCCGUAACUGGUCUGAGAGGAUGAUCAGUCACACCGGAACUGAGACACGGUCCAGACUCCUACGGGAGGCAGCAGUGGGGAAUAUUGGACAAUGGGCGAAAGCCUGAUCCAGCCAUGCCGCGUGUGUGAAGAAGGUCUUCGGAUUGUAAAGCACUUUAAGUUGGGAGGAAGGGCAGUAAGUUAAUACCUUGCUGUUUUGACGUUACCAACAGAAUAAGCACCGGCUAACUUCGUG
rnacentral:rRNA from 1 species